rnacentral:rRNA from 1 species
AAUGCACGAAAGCGUGGGGAGCAAACAGGACUAGAUACCCUGCUAGUCCACGCUGUAAACUAUGAUCACUCGCUGUUGGCGAUACACUGUCUCCUGUCUUAUUUUUUUUUUUUUUUGAUCCACCUGGGGAGUACGAUCGCAAGGUUUGAAACUCAAAGGAAUUGACGGGGGCCCGCACAAGCGGAGGAGCAUGUGGUUUAAUUCGAUGAUACGCGAGGAACCUUACCUGGGCUUAUAUGUCAGACGUACCUCCCGAGAAAUCGGGACUUCCUUCGGGGACGGACUGCAAGGUGCUGCAUGGUUGUCGUCAGCUCGUGCCGUGAGGUGUCGGGUUAAGUCCCAUAACGAGCGGCAACCCUUAUCCUUAGUUGCCAACAGGUAAUGCUGGGAACUCUAAGGAAACUGCCUACGCAAGUAGUGAGGAAGGUGGGGAUGACGUCAAAUCAGCACGGCCCUUAUGUCCAGGGCUACACACGUGCUACAAUGGUCGGUACAGAGGGCAGCUACCUGGCAACAGGAUGCUAAUCUCGAAAGCCGAUCUCAGUUCGGAUUGGAGUCUGCAACUCGACUCCAUGAAGUUGGAUUCGCUAGUAAUCGCGCACCACCCAUGGCNCGCUGAUACGUUCCCGGGCAUUGUACACACCGCCCGUCAAGCCAUGGAAGCUGGGAGUACCUG